rnacentral:rRNA from 1 species
UACAGAGGGUGCUAGCGUUGUUCGGAAUCAUUGGGCGUAAAGGGCGUGUAGGCGGUUUGUUAAGUCAUGUGUGAAAUCCCUCGGCUCAACCGGGGAACGACGCAUGAAACUGGCAAGCUAGAGUACCAAAGAGGGGGGUGGAAUUCCCGGUGUAGCGGUGAAAUGCGCAGAUAUCGGGAGGAACACCGGUGGCGAAGGCGGUUCUCUGGGCCUGACCUGACGCUGAGGAGCGAAAGCGUGGGGAGCGAACAGG